GACGUAGGGCGCAAGCGUUGUCCGGAUUUAUUGGGCGUAAAGAGCUCGUAGGCGGCUCGUUGCGUCGGCUGUGAAAACCCGCAGCUCAACUGUGGGCUUGCAGCCGAUACGGGCGGGCUGGAGUUCGGUAGGGGAGACUGGAAUUCCUGGUGUAGCGGUGAAAUGCGCAGAUAUCAGGAGGAACACCGGUGGCGAAGGCGGGUCUCUGGGCCGAUACUGACGCUGAUGCGCGGAAGCUAGGGGAGCAAACGGG
rnacentral:rRNA from 1 species